rnacentral:rRNA from 1 species
GUGAACGCUGGCGGUAGGCCUAACACAUGCAAGUCGAACGGCAGCACAGUAAGAGCUUGCUCUUACGGGUGGCGAGUGGCGGACGGGUGAGGAAUACAUCGGAAUCUACUUUUUCGUGGGGGAUAACGUAGGGAAACUUACGCUAAUACCGCAUACGACCUACGGGUGAAAGCAGGGGAUCUUCGGACCUUGCGCGAUUGAAUGAGCCGAUGUCGGAUUAGCUAGUUGGCGGGGUAAAGGCCCACCAAGGCGACGAUCCGUAGCUGGUCUGAGAGGAUGAUCAGCCACACUAGAACUGAGACACGGUCCAGACUCCUACGGGAGGCAGCAGUGGGGAAUAUUGGACAAAGGGCGCAAGCCUGAUCCAGCCAUACCACGUGGGUGAAGAAGGCCUUCGGGUUGUAAAGCCCUUUUGUUGGGAAAGAAAAGCAGCAGGUUAAUACCCCGCUGUUCUGACGGUACCCAAAGAAUAAGCACCGGCUAACUUCGUG